rnacentral:misc_RNA from 1 species
UGCUAACACCAGAGCUGCAGACAGAUAUGCUCUGCUGCCAAGUCAGUCGCCUAGUCACGCCACAGCUCGUCGUUCAUCAAAGGAGACGCUCAAACAUGUGUGUAUUCAGUUCAGUUUCAGUCCAACGCGGUUUUGGUUGGUCCUCCGAGCUGACGCUGGUUUGGGCAGGCCAUCAAGCAACGGUCGGGUGAAGGAGUCAUGGCUGAACGUCCACUUGGAACUUGACCACAUAGAGACUCCAUUGUCAGCAUCCGCAAAGCUGGGCGCGCUCGGGGACUUCCUCACAGUCACAGAUCUGAAGCCGCUCUUCUGGCUGGAACCUGGGCUGCCUGCAUACGUGUCUAGACGGACGCUGGAAAUCAACAGACUCUUGAUCGCCUUCACUAGAAAAUCACCCUGGGCGUUAGACUCUGCUUCCACUUUCUGUCGCCGCCGCAUAGAACCAUCUUGCUCUGGUUUCGGUGCCCCGCCAUCGCCCUCGGUCGCUGAAAAGCCUAGCGCUUCAAAAUUCCAGCUGCUGUCGGUGCCUGGAGCUGCGGAAGGAUUGAGCAAUGUUUCGCUGAGGUUACUCUGGAAGCCGCCGCCCUUAUGGUACACAGACAGUUCAGUGCUGCUAUCCAUGGUAUUUCCUCCUUUCUGAGGUGGUGUUAGGCCAUAGUAUCUCUGCAAGGUAUUCAUUGCAGAUGACGCACCCUGCUGACGAGACUUGGGCGCGUCUCUCUUUUGCCGAUGGUUUGGAGCACACGUUCUACAGAAAAAAAAAUGAGUAUAAAUGUCCCAGUCUGAUAUGAUAUGGCAAUAUACAGUUGAUCCAGUUAUCUCUGCAGCUAAUUCAAAACUAACACAAGUUAACAGAUUCUGGGCAUGGUUUCUCCAAUAAGAUUGAGAGAGAUGUACCUUAUCGUUCUUUGACCACAAGCAUUCAGGGAUGGCAUGGGCAUUCCUGGUAGAGGUAUGAGCAGCGAUUUGUGUGCAAACAUCUGGCUGUCAGUUACCAAACUGUUUGCCCUUUUGAUGUCAGAUAUCUACAGGUAAUAAUAAAAGAAGUAGAUCUUUAACACAACAACUCAAAGAAGAAGUUUUUCACAGUUGUUUACGUUUGCGGAUUUAUGUAGUAAGAAAUAAAACAGAUGACGCAAAGAGCUGGAGAUUCUUUUGACAUAUGGUUGCCAAGAAACGAGGAAAAGUUGGAGUUUUUGGCGAACAGCAUGAGAUCUCCUCUUCCAUCUCGCGGGCGAGGGGGGGGUGUAGAGGCUUUUACCCACCACCACCAACCAACCAACCAAAGCGGAGAAGGCGACUAUUGCUGGAUGAAUGAUGAAUACCUCGACGCCGUACUUGAUGGCGAUGCCGGCGAGCGUGUCCAUCCUAGUAACCUCGUGCUCCAGGAGGUGGCGGUGGGCGAGCGGCGAUGAGGGAGGCGUCGUAUCCGGCGAGAGGACGGCGCCGCGGAGGGCGUCGUACUCGUCGGAGAGAGGGUGGGAGAUUCCCAUGGCGAGGUGAGCAGCAAGUUAAGUCAGGGCCGGGGAUGCGCUGGAUGAUGGGCAGAGCAGAUCAGAGGUGUGGGGUUCUGCCUUCCUGGGAUGGCAAAUUGACGCGCGUGGAGGAGAAGGGGAAGGAGAACGAAGGUUGGUGCGGGUGAGGCCUGCGUCGCCGUCGGUGGAACGAGAGGAGAAAAGGCGCGCCUUUUCUUUUCUUGUGUUGCAGGUGCAGCCUGCCGUUUGCCGAAAUGCU